rnacentral:misc_RNA from 1 species
GGAAGUAAAAUAACAAGGUUUCCGUAGGUGAACCUGCGGAAGGAUCAUUCAUAAUAAAGUGUUUUAUGGCACUUUUUAAAAAUCCAUAUCCACCUUGUGUGCAAUGUUAGAUCUCGUCAAUCUUGGCGAGAUUUUUAUACAUCAACUCAUUCUUUAACUAAUUUGUCUGAAAAAUAUUAUGAAUACUUAAUUCAAAAUACAACUUUCAACAACGGAUCUCUUGGCUCUC